rnacentral:rRNA from 1 species
GACGAACGCUGGCGGCGUGCUUAACACAUGCAAGUCGAACGGAAAGGCCCUGCUUUUGUGGGGUGCUCGAGUGGCGAACGGGUGAGUAACACGUGAGUAACCUGCCCUUGACUUUGGGAUAACUUCAGGAAACUGGGGCUAAUACCGGAUAGGAGCUCCUGCUGCAUGGUGGGGGUUGGAAAGUUUCGGCGGUUGGGGAUGGACUCGCGGCUUAUCAGCUUGUUGGUGGGGUAGUGGCUUACCAAGGCUUUGACGGGUAGCCGGCCUGAGAGGGUGACCGGCCAAAUUGGGACUGAGAUACGGCCCAGACUCCUACGGGAGGCAGCAGUGGGGAAUAUUGCACAAUGGGCGGAAGCCUGAUGCAGCAACGCCGCGUGCGGGAUGACGGCCUUCGGGUUGUAAACCGCUUUCGCCUGUGACGAAGCGUGAGUGACGGUAAUGGGUAAAGAAGCACCGGGUAACUACGUG